CCAGCCCGCGUCAAGAAACUUAAAGGAAUUGGACCGGGGCCCGCACAAGCGGAGGAGCAUGUGGUUUAAUCGAUGAUACGCGAGGAACCUUACCGUGGGCUCGAACGUAAGAUGACUGUAGGUGAAAGCUUACAUCUCUUCGGAGCAUUUUACGAGGUGCUGCAUGGUUGUCGUCAGCUCGUGCCGUGAGGUGUCGGGUUAAGUCCCAUAACGAGCGCAACCCCUUACCUUUAGUUGCCAUCAGGUAAUGCUGGGGACUCUAAAGGAACUGCCUACGCAAGUAGUGAGGAAGGCGGGGAUGACGUCAAAUCAGCACGGCCCUUACGUCCAGGGCUACACACGUGCUACAAUGGCCGAUACAGAGGGCAGCUACCUGGUGACAGGAUGCAAAUCUCCAAAGUCGGUCUCAGUUCGGAUCGGAGUCUGCAACCCGACUCCGUGAAGUUGGAUUCGCUAGUAAUCGCGCAUCAGCCAUGGCGCGGUGAAUACGUUCCCGGGCCUU
rnacentral:rRNA from 1 species